AGCAGCCGCGGUAAUUCCAGCUCCAAUAGCGUAUAUUAAAGUUGUUGCAGUUAAAAAGCUCGUAGUUGAAUUUCGGGGUCAGCAGGUUGGUCGUGCCAAUGGUAUGCACUGGCCUUGCUGAUUCCUCCCUCUUGAUGAGCCGUAAUGUCAUUAAUUUGGUGUUGCGGGGAAUCAGGACUGUUACUUUGAAAAAAUUAGAGUGUUUAAAGCAGGCAAGCGCUUGAAUACAUUAGCAUGGAAUAAUGAAAUAGGACGUUUGAUCCUAUUUUGUUGGUUUCUAGGAUUGACGUAAUGAUUAAUAGGGAUAGUUGGGGGCAUUAGUAUUCAAUUGUCAGAGGUGAAAUUCUUGGAUUUAUUGAAGACUAACUACUGCGAAAGCAUUUGCCAAGGAUGUUUUCAUUAAUCAAGAACGAAAGUUAGGGGAUCGAAGACGAUCAGAUACCGUCGUAGUCUUAACCAUAAACUAUGCCGACUAGGGAUCGGAUGAUGUUAAUUUUUUAAUGACUCA
rnacentral:rRNA from 1 species